AGCAGCCGCGGUAAUUCCAGCUCCAAUAGCGUAUAUUAAAGUUGUUGCAGUUAAAAAGCUCGUAGUUGAAUUUCGGGGUUCUACCGUUGGUCAGGCUAUUGUCUGUACUGGUGUGUAGAAUUUCUACCUUCUGGGGAACUAUCAUGUUAUUAAUUUAACGUGGUGGGAAACCAGGACCUUUACCUUGAAAAAAUUAGAGUGUUCAAAGCAGGCUUAUGUCUGAAUACAUUGCAUGGAAUAAUAAAAUAGGACGGUGGUCCUGUUUUGUUGGUUUCUGAAUCACCGUAAUGAUUAAUAGGGAUAGUUGGGGGCAUUAGUAUUCAAUUGUCAGAGGUGAAAUUCUUGGAUUUAU
rnacentral:rRNA from 1 species